rnacentral:rRNA from 1 species
UACGUAGGGUGCAAGCGUUGUCCGGAAUUAUUGGGCGUAAAGAGCUCGUAGGCGGUCUGCCACGUCGGCUGUGAAAACCCGAGGCUCAACCUCGGGCCUGCAGUCGAUACGGGCAAACUAGAGUACUGCAGGGGAGACUGGAAUUCCUGGUGUAGCGGUGAAAUGCGCAGAUAUCAGGAGGAACACCGGUGGCGAAGGCGGGUCUCUGGGCAGUUUAGCUGACACUGAGGCGCGACAGCGUGGGGAGCAAACAGG